AAGUCGUAACAAGGUUUCCGUAGGUGAACCUGCGGAAGGAUCAUUAAGAGAGGAUUUCCAAACACACCGUGAACAAAACACUUUGUCACAUCUUAACACACCAAAGAUGACAACUUUUAGCAACGGAUCUCUAGGUUCUC
rnacentral:misc_RNA from 1 species